rnacentral:rRNA from 1 species
UACGUAGGGGGCAAGCGUUGUCCGGAAUUACUGGGCGUAAAGCGCGUGUAGGCGGCUUGUUAAGUUUGCUGUGAAAGCGCCCCGCUUAACGGGGCGAGGUCGGUGAAAACUGGCAGGCUGGAGGACGGUAGAGGGGGGUGGAAUUCCCGGUGUAGUGGUGAAAUGCGUAGAGAUCGGGAGGAACACCAGUGGCGAAGGCAGCCCCCUGGGUUAACACUGACGCUCAGGCACGAAAGCGUGGGGAGCAAACAGG